UAACCGGACACCCUGCUUGGGACUGUGAGCUGCUCUCAUUCUGGGUGCCUCAUAGGCAGAUCUGAAACAUGAGUCUUCAGUAUGAAGUUACUCAUCGUUGAUUAUGCUGCCCUGCCUGCUGCAAAAGGAAAACAAGAUUACAUCACAGCCCUGGUAACACCAUGGAUUCGGUGAUCUGUGUGGGCGAUUUCAGAAAAUCUGAGGGCCUUGUAUUCCCCGAAAACUGUAACACUCACGCCCAGGAACCACUAAGAGAAGAAAUGCUGCUUGGGGACCAUGUGGCAGGAUGUGACAGACCUGAAUCUAUGCUGUCGAUCAACCACUGAAGUGAUGGCAGGGCAGUGGUCUUCAUCUCCUGCACUAAGGUCUGAAGAUAGCUUCUGAAAUUCUGCAAGGCUGUUUUGAGAAAAG
rnacentral:lncRNA from 1 species